rnacentral:rRNA from 1 species
GAUGAACGCUGGCGGCGUGCCUAAUACAUGCAAGUCGAGCGAACAGACGAGGAGCUUGCUCCUCCGACGUUAGCGGCGGACGGGAGAGUAACACGUGGAUAACCUACCUAUAAGACUGGGAUAACUUCGGGAAACCGGAGCUAAUACCGGAUAAUAUAUUGAACCGCAUGGUUCAAUAGUGAAAGACGGUUUUGCCGUCACUUAUAGAUGGAUCCGCGCCGCAUUAGCUAGUUGGUAAGGUAACGGCUUACCAAGGCAACGAUGCGUAGCCGACCUGAAAGGGUGAUCCGCCACCCUGGAACUGAGACACGGUCCCGACUCCUGCGGGAGGCAGCAGUAGGGAAUCUUCCGCGAUGGGCGAGAGGCUGACGGAGCAACGCCGCGUGAGUGAUGAAGGUCUUCGGAUCGUAGAACUCUGUUAUUAGGGAAGUUCAAAUGUGUAAUUAACUAUGCACGUCUUGACGGUACCUAAUCAGAAAGCCCCGGCUAACUCCGUG